rnacentral:rRNA from 1 species
UACGAAGGGUGCAAGCGUUACUCGGAAUUACUGGGCGUAAAGCGUGCGUAGGUGGUCUGUUAAGUCUGAUGUGAAAGCCCUGGGCUCAACCUGGGAAUGGCAUUGGAUACUGGCAGGCUAGAGUGCGGUAGAGGAUGGCGGAAUUCCCGGUGUAGCAGUGAAACGCGUAGAGAUCGGGAGGAACAUCUGUGGCGAAGGCGGCCAUCUGGACCAGCACUGACACUGAGGCACGAAAGCGUGGGGAGCAAACAGG